UACGUAGGGUGCGAGCGUUGUCCGGAAUUAUUGGGCGUAAAGAGCUUGUAGGCGGUUUGUCGCGUCUGCCGUGAAAAUUCGAGGCUCAACCUCGAACUUGCGGUGGGUACGGGCAGACUAGAGUGUGGUAGGGGAGACUGGAAUUCCUGGUGUAGCGGUGAAAUGCGCAGAUAUCAGGAGGAACACCGGUGGCGAAGGCGGGUCUCUGGGCCGAUAUUGACGCUGAGGAGCGAAAGCGUGGGGAGCGAACAGG
rnacentral:rRNA from 1 species